UACGUAGGUGGCUAGCGUUGUCCGGAUUUACUGGGCGUAAAGAGCGCGCAGGCGGUCGUUCAAGUCGAGUGUGAAAGCCCCCGGCUCAACUGGGGAGGGUCACUCGAUACUGAUCGACUUGAAGGCGGGAGAGGGAAGCGGAAUUCCCGGUGUAGUGGUGAAAUGCGUAGAUAUCAGGAGGAACACCAAUAGCGAAGGCAGCUCGCUGGGACGUUACUGACACUGAGGCGCGAAAGCGUGGGGAGCGAACAGG
rnacentral:rRNA from 1 species